CUUGCCAAUAUAAGAGGUCCAGCCUGCCCAGUGACCCAGUUCAACGGCCGCGGUAUCCUAACCGUGCGAAGGUAGCGUAAUCACUUGUCUUCUAAAUAAAGACUAGUAUGAAAGGCACCACGAGAACUAAACUGUCUCCCUUUUCUAAUCAGUGAACCUAAUCUCCCCGUGAAGAAGCGGGGAUUUAUCAAUAAGACGAGAAGACCCUAUGGAGCUUUAAACCCAUAACACCUGCCCUUACCUACACCACCAUGCGGGAUGAUUAUAAGUUUUCAGUUGGGGCGACUACGGAGAAAACCCCACCCUCCGUGAUGAAUCUACAACAAGCUACAACUUUAUGUAUCAACAAACUGACACAAUUGACCCAAUAUAUUGAUCAACGAAC
rnacentral:rRNA from 1 species